GAUGAACGCUGGCGGCGUGCCUAAUACAUGCAAGUCGAGCGAACAGACGAGGAGCUUGCUCCUCUGACGUUAGCGGCGGACGGGUGAGUAACACGUGGAUAACCUACCUAUAAGACUGGGAUAACUUCGGGAAACCGGCGCUAAUACCGGAUAAUAUAUUGAACCGCAUGGUUCAAUAGUGAAAGACGGUUUUGCUGUCACUUAUAGCUGGAUCCGCGCCGCAUUAGCUAGUUGGUAAGGUAACGGCUUACCAAGGCAACGAUGCGUAGCCGACCUGAGAGGGUGAUCGGCCACACUGGAACUGAGACACGGUCCAGACUCCUACGGGAGGCAGCAGUAGGGAAUCUUCCGCAAUGGGCGAAAGCCUGACGGAGCAACGCCGCGUGAGUGAUGAAGGUCUUCGGAUCGUAAAACUCUGUUAUUAGGGAAGAACAAAUGUGUAAGUAACUAUGCACGUCUUGACGGUACCUAAUCAGAAAGCCACGGCUAACUACGUG
rnacentral:rRNA from 1 species